rnacentral:rRNA from 1 species
UACGUAGGGGGCAAGCGUUGUCCGGAUUUAUUGGGCGUAAAGAGCGUGUAGGCGGCUAAAUAGGUCCGUUGUGAAAACUCGAGGCUCAACCUCGAGAUGCCGAUGGAAACCAUUUGGCUAGAGUCCGGAAGAGGAGAGUGGAAUUCCCGGUGUAGCGGUGAAAUGCGCAGAUAUCGGGAAGAACACCCGUGGCUAAGGCGGCUCUCUAGUACGGUACUGACGCUGAGGAGCGAAAGCGUGGGGAGCGAACAGG